GGGCGGGGCCUUCGCGCGCGGGGGGCGGGGCCUCGCGGGGCCGCGCCCGAGAGUUAUCCCGGGGCAGAGUCCGGGGCGCAUCCCUGGUCCCGUGGCGGGCUCCAUCCUUCCAUCCCUCCCGGGAUCCAUCCGUUUCUCCAUGUCUUCCUCCAUCCCUUCCUCCAUCCCUCCGUCCCUCGGGGCCCGGUACCCCCCAGCGCGGCCCGGUGGUUCCCUUUCCUCCUGUGGUUACCUUAUUUCUCCCGGUGGUUCCCUUCCCUCCACGCCAGGCGAUGACCAGGCGAUUCCGACCCCCGCCCGGGUCUGACCCCCACGCCCCGAUGGGGUUCCCAGUGUCCCACCAAGGCCCCGGGGCCGGGGGGUGGUGGGAGGGACAGGGCAGGGACAUCGCACGUCGGGAAUGUUCCUUGGGAAUGCGGACAGGCCGGCAGGUGGAGGGAGGAAGGGGAGAACCCGUUCUGCUGCUUGUUUUACCACUUAUCUCCGUGUCUGGUGGGGGUAGAACUGGAGACCUUGCACUAAAACUGGGAAGCGCAGGGGUGGCAGCUCAGGAGCACCUGGAGCAGCACAGGGGCUUCUCCAGCCUCUGUCAGGCCUCUGUUCUCCACGGGCAUUAGCUCAAAGGACAGGAGGAACAAUCUCCAAGUGUAUUGCAAGAUCACUGAAACAUCCUGUGCAGGGAAGUGUGUGUAGGACUCAGUUUACAAGCUGGGAAGCUUUAGAUGCUUUAGAUGGGAAGCCUUAGAUGUGUUCACAAUCCUGAAUUCCAGGAGUGUAAGUACAGCCAGGGACUAUCAAAAUAACCAGUGUGAAUGGGAGUCUUUCCCUUGGACAGCAACAGAGUAGAGCUGAAGCCCCAGAGGAACCGAAAUUGCAGACUUGUCCUUUUUCUCCCCACAGUAAGACCAAGAGAAGUCACUCAUGCUCCUCACAUCUUUGUGGUUUUAGUUACGUUCAGUUCCUCACAAAAAGUCAAUAAACUGUGCUGGGUGUAAUUGGCAAUGCUGAGCACUGGUUA